rnacentral:tRNA from 1 species
GGGCAGGUUCCGGAGUGGCCAAACGGGGCAGACUGUAAAUCUGCUGUCUUACGACUUCACAGGUUCGAAUCCUGUCCUGCCCA